UACUGACUUUGAGAAAGGAGAUUUCCUGCUUGGAAUACUGAGGAGACCUCAUCAGCAAAGAAGAAUGUGAGCGGAGGCCAUGCACUUCAAGUUUUCAUGUUUGAGUUUGGCUACAAUGGAAAACUCCUCUGUGUCGAUGCAGCUCGAGGUGACGGUUCUCUUGGGCGGCUUGUAAACGAUGACCAUAUUAACCCAAACAGCAGGAUGAAGACGAUUCGUGUGGAUGGAAAACCUCACUUAUGUUUAUUUGCUACAAGGAGCAUCUGUCCUGGUGAAGAGGUCACAUACGAUUAUGGUGAUUCUGAUUGGCCAUGGAGAUGCACGACUUUUCUAUAGUGUGCUUGAACCGUCCACUGUUGAAGUCAACACUCUGUCCCAGUCAGAAGACACAGACGUAUAGAAGGUGACUCUGAAGAAGGACCGGUUACUAUUGGAUGAUCCGGACUGUGUUGAGUAGAUGUCACCUGUCAAAGAGCAUGUGUUGAAUGAGGAGCAGAGCGUUUGUGCCCCGCUGAAGGAGUUAAGGAGGUAUUCACAUGUUU